AUCUGCCCUUUGGCCUGGAAUAACACGAGGAAACUUGCUGCUAAUACCGGAUAAGUCUUUACGGAGAAAGCUUUAUGCACCAUUGGAUGAGCCUGCACUUGAUUAGUUUGUUGGUGGGGUAAUGGCCUACCAAGACUGUGAUCAAUAGCUGAUUUGAGAGGAUGAUCAGCCACAUUGGGACUGAGACACGGCCCAAACUCCUACGGGAGGCAGCAGUGGGGAAUCUUGCACAAUGGAGGAAACUCUGAUGCAGCGAUGCCGCGUGAGUGAAGAAGGCCCUUGGGUUGUAAAGCUCUUUCGUCGGGGAAGAAAAUGACUGUACCCGAAUAAGAAGGUCCGGCUAACUUCGUGCCAGCAGCCGCGGUAAUACGAAGGGACCUAGCGUAGUUCGGAAUUACUGGGCUUAAAGAGUUCGUAGGUGGUUGAAAAAGUUGGUGGUGAAAUCCCAGAGCUUAACUCUGAAACUGCCAUCAAAACUUUUCAGCUAGAGUAUGAUAGAGGAAAGCAGAAUUUCUAGUGUAGAGGUGAAAUUCGUAGAUAUUAGAAAGAAUACCAAUUGCGAAGGCAGCUUUCUGGAUCAUUACUGACACUGAGGAACGAAAGCAUGGGUAGCGAAGAGGAUUAGAUACCCUCGUAGUCCAUGCCGUAAACGAUGUGUGUUAGACGUUGGAAAUUUAUUUUCAGUGUCGC
rnacentral:rRNA from 1 species